rnacentral:rRNA from 1 species
UACGAAGGGGGCUAGCGUUGCUCGGAAUCACUGGGCGUAAAGCGCACGUAGGCGGCUUUCUAAGUCAGGGGUGAAAUCCUGGAGCUCAACUCCAGAACUGCCUUUGAUACUGGAAAGCUUGAGUUCGGGAGAGGUGAGUGGAACUGCGAGUGUAGAGGUGAAAUUCGUAGAUAUUCGCAAGAACACCAGUGGCGAAGGCGGCUGACUGGUCCGGUUCUGACGCUGAGGCGCGAAAGCGUGGGGAGCAAACAGG